AUAUUACUCCCUCCGUCCGGAAAUACUUGUCAUUGAAAUGGAUGUAUCUAGAUGUAUUUUAGUUCUAGAUACAUUCAUUUCAUCCGUUUUGAUGACAAGUAGUUCCGGACGGAGGGAGUAGAAG
rnacentral:pre_miRNA from 1 species